AUCAUUCGGACGAAAGUGAUGAGGAAGUGGAGGAUGAACGCCCUGAACGUGCAGGCAACAGAAAAUGGUGUGACUGUGGAAACUGCACAGCUCAAAUCACUGGAACAGAGUCGAUGUGCUGCAGUGACUAUUCCCCAGUUCUGGCCAAGAAGGAAAGUUAUGAGCCAGAUGGAGUUGCCUGCAUAACUCUGCAUCCCGGAUUCGCAAGCAACUGCCUUGACCGAUAUGUCCUGGAAAGUGCCAUGUAUGAAUUUAUCCAAGAUCAAGGGCCAAUAGGAAAUGAUCAGCCAAUGCACAAGUUAUGGAGAUACCUUGCAUACCGCAGAUUUGUGCGCUGGUGCUGGCAACGUUUGGGCAAAAAGCAAAGACUUCCUCUUCCAGUCUGUGCUCGUGACAAGAUUCGCUCUACCUGGCCCUCAGAGGAGUACACUGGCUUUCGUUAUCCAAAGAGUUGAGCGUCCGAUUAAAUCGAGUCUUCCGGCUAUCCACGACCUCAAGUUUGGUUUGACGUUUCGUGUAUUUCGUACAGACUGGCUUGGGUGUAGACUUGAUGCGAUCUUCUCUAUUGGCCAAUGCAGUGCUGUACGAGGGCAUUUUCUCUCGAAGUCUCAAUACCUCAUUCAGUAGAAGUUGAAUGUAUUCUGAAAAGGAACGAAUAUUUUGAUUUUUUUUUAACAAUUAAUAUUUAGUAUUUAUAGGAUGUCCUGUUUGUUUUUGGUGACACAAGAUCAUCUCCAUGAAAUACCUCUGGAAAUGGAAAUGGUGUUCACAGUCAAGUGGAACCUCUCUAAAGGGACCAUCUCAAAAUUGACUGAUGCCAAAAUAGAAGAACAGUGUUAGUCUCUCUGUGAACACUGAGCACCUAGAAAACUCCCCCCAGACAAACACUGUUCCUCUUUUUUUGCAUCAGUAAAUUUUGAGAUGGUCCCUAAGGACACCCAUGGGACUGACAAGUGCUCUCCUUAAUAGAGUACACUCCCACCGCAGUGGUAUGUCCCGCCCCUGGUUUCAUAUACCGUGCCUAUGCGGUAUCACAGGCCCCAAUAGGGCCUACACAUUAUGUAUAACAACCGACCUCAGUAGCCUCGGGCAUUAAAUGCAAUUGACAUGGUUGUGUAGCCACUGUACAGUGGAUGACAUGUGCCAUUUGGGUAGUAUGAGUGUUGUGUGCAUCAGCAGUGUAUAAAUCAUGAAAUAGUGUUCAACUCA